rnacentral:rRNA from 1 species
CCGGCGACCGGCGGACGGGUGCGUAACGCGUAUGUAACCUACCUUUGACAGGGGGAUAACAUCGAGAAAUUGGUACUAAUACCCCAUAACAUCACCGGAGGCAUCUUCGGUGGUUGAAAACUCAGGUGGUCAGAGAUGGACAUGCGUUGUAUUAGCUAGUUGGUGAGGUAACGGCUCACCAAGGCGACGAUACAUAGGGGGACUGAGAGGUCAACCCCCCACAUUGGUACUGAGGCACGGACCAAACUCCUACGGAAGGCAGCAG